GCUUCAUACAUGCAAGUCGAACGAGAACAAGAGCUUGCUCUUGUGGAAAGUGGCGGACGGUGAGUAACAUGUAGGAAAUCUGCCCUUUAGCGGGGGACAACAGUUGGAAACGACUGCUAAUACCCCAUAUGAGCUAAGUUGAAAUACUUAUCUUGAAAACUCCGGUGCUAAAGGAUGAGCCUGCACCUGAUUAGCUAGUUGGUGAGGUAACGGCCCACCAAGGCGACGAUCAGUAGCCGGACUGAGAGGUUGACCGGCCACAUUGGGACUGAGAUACGGCCCAGACUCCUACGGGAGGCAGCAGUGGGGAAUAUUGGGCAAUGGGCGCAAGCCUGACCCAGCAACGCCGCGUGAAGGAAGAAGGCUUUCGGGUUGUAAACUUCUUUUGUCGAGGAAGAGUAGAAGACUGUACUCGGCGAAUAAGCCACGGCUAACUACGUG
rnacentral:rRNA from 1 species